rnacentral:rRNA from 1 species
UCGGGAAUUUUGGGCAAUGGGCGAAAGCCUGACCCAGCAACGCCGCGUGAGGGAUGAAGUAUUUCGGCAUGUAAACCUCGAAAGAAUGGGAAGAAUAAAUGACGGUACCAUUUAUAAGCUCCGGCUAACUACGUGCCAGCAGCCGCGGUAAUACGUAGGGAGCAAGCGUUGUUCGGAUUUACUGGGCGUAAAGGGCGCGUAGGCGGCGCGGUAAGCCACUUGUGAAAUCUCUGAGCUUAACUCAGAACGGCCAAGUGAUACUGCUGUGCUAGAGUGCGGAAGAGGCAACCGGAAUUCUUGGUGUAGCGGUGAAAUGCGUAGAUAUCAAGAGGAACACCUGAGGCGAAGGCGGGUUGCUGGGCCGACACUGACGCUGAUGCGCGAAAGCCAGGGGAGCAAACG